rnacentral:lncRNA from 1 species
UACUUAGAUUUUAAGACAAUUAUGUUGUGCAUGCAGUUUUUGUAAAUAGGUUUGAUCUUAAGAAUUGUAUGGAUGGAGCGUUACUUGGCUAAGGUUGUAAUUACCGUAAAUGGCUAAAGUGUAAGUUAAUAUGAGGUUUCAGUGGCUAAUUCCACUCAGGGUGUGGCAUAAUUAAUUAUGCACAGUAAUCUGGUAUAGAAUUUCCCCCAAAUAUAGUAAUAUGUUACAGAAACUCCUCAAGGCUUUCAAAGCAACUAACAUACGGACAUAUAGCUGUUGUGGACAUAUAUAUAACAGAGAUUUUCCAAACAGUUUCAAAACCAUUAUUUGAAACCAUAUUACAAGGAUACAUGGCAAGAAUAAUGUUCACACGCCUCAAAUGUUUGCCAUGACGAACAAAAAACCUUAAAACCAGUUGGAAAAGCUUGACAAUAGUAGUACCUAUUACCCAAUCACCAAACACAUCAAAAAAGGACAAAUGCUUUGUUAGACGUGCAUAAUUGGUAUUUCAGCUUCACUUGGCAGCUGACGCAGCCAAAAUAGAAAAGAUCAGCUCCAAACAGACAUGUCAGGAGUUUCCACAGGCCUUCAACGAACGAACAUAGAGUAAACGUUUAUGGAUCAGUCGUUCUAUAAUGAGUUCUUUGGUACGUCAUGAUGGUGUUGCUGCACUAAUCUUUGGUGACUAAUAAGAAGAGUGAUAUUAGAGUGACUAACCAAACUUGCUGGGCCAUGCUUAUAUCUCCUCUUCGAUCAUUCCCAGUCCCACUUUCACAAGUAUUUGAAUGAAAGAUUAAGAGGGACUAAGAGAAGAACUUGAGUCUGCAAAAGUUGAAUGCUCUUUUGCGUCGAAUAAUGACACGACCGUGCUGGUUUCUGUCGCAGAUGACUUUUCGCGGAGGUCAUCAAGUGGACUGGUGAUGUAGUUACCUGUCCAAACUCCAUUUGCAUACACCAUAACUAAUACUUUGUCAAAAUCAAGAAGAUCCUGUUUGGCCUUUACUCUUAUGGAUCCACCUGGCUUUAUCCUGAUAAUUUUCUCAAAUUUGUCAGGUCUAGCAGGCUGAACCCAUAUCCUCAGCUCUAUGCUGUAGUAAGUCCUGUUUUCUAGUAUACUAAGCUUACCGCCCAUUUUCUAUGCAACCCACAACUUGAAACUAACUAGAAUUUGAAAAGAUUAAAGACUAGCAGUGCUCGUGUGCUGGUGUAUGAACUGAACUCUAAGAGGUAGAAAGACUGGAAUAGUGCUCGUGUGAUGGUGUUAGCAAAAACUAUUUGCUCGUAAUAUCCUUAGGUCUAAAAUGUGAGGAAAGUGGACGCCUUCGAUGCCUAUUGUACUACUAAUUUAUAGAGGAAAUUUGUCCACUGCUUCUCAACUCAAUAAGUGAGAAAUUGAACCAAAUAAAUUAAGGGCCUUUCUUUGGGUUUGCAUUAACUGAUUGUGGUGGAAUGUGACUAUAAAGAAGAAUCAGAAUAUGAUAAAAUUAUACUUGGUUAGAUUCUAGAUAUUAACGUUUUUGUCUACUAAAAUCUAAAAUUUAGGUGCUAAAGCAAGCUAGACUCUAUUAUACUUGGUUAGACUCUAAAAUUUCUGUCGCAGAUGACUUUUCGCAGAGGCCAUCAAGUGGAGUGGAAAGAUGCAGUUACCUGUCCCAACUCCAUUUGCAUGCACCAUUACUAAUACUUUGUCAAAAUAAAGAAGACCCUCCUGUUUGGCCUUUGCUCUUAUGGUUCCACCUGGCUUUACCCUGAUAAUCUUCUCAAAUUUGUCAGGUCUAGCAGGCUGAACCCACAUCCUGAGUUCUAUGCUGUAGUAAGUCCUGUUUUCUAGUAUACUAAGCUUACCGCCCAUUUUUUAUGCAACCCACAACCUGAAACUAGCUAGAAUUUGCAAAGACAAAGGCACAUAAAGAACAAACAAUCAGAUUAAAGACUAGCAGUGCUCGUGUGCUGGUGUAUGCGCUGAACUCUGAGAGGGAGAAAGAUCAGAAUAGUGCUCGUGUGAUGGUGUUAGCAAAAUCCAUAUAUGCUUGUAAUACCUCUUUGUCUAAAAUGUGAGGAAAGUGGAUGCCUUAGAUGCCCAUGGCACUACUAAUUUAUAGAGGAAAUUUGUCCACUGUUUCUCAACUCAAUUAAGUGAGAAAUUGAACCAAAUAAAUUAAGGGCCUUUCAAAAGGGUUUGCAUUAACUGAUUGUGGUGGAAUGUGCCUAUAAAGAAGAAUCAGAAUAUGAUAAAAUUAUACUUGGUUAGACUCUAGAUAUUAACUUUUUUGUCCAUUAAAAUCUAAAAUUUAGGUGCUAAAGCAAGCUAGAGUAUCAAAAAAAAAAAAAAAAACUUGUAUCCGUAAACACAGGUGAAAUAAUCAAACGAGAAUAGGCCCAUAAUCCACCUGAUUAGUAAAUGGUAAUUUGGUGUAACUUCCUAGCUUUUACCGCAACAGACUUCAAAGAUCAGGUCAAUGGGACUAUGUGGUCAACUCAUAGGUCAAACUGGGGACUUCAAAGAAGCUCUAUGUGUUACUGUGCUAAAAGUUAAAACGCGUGUAAACAGUAAACACUAUUGUAACUGCAUAUGGGAUAGGAUAGGCAUCUCAUGAUUUGAUCGAAAAGAGAAUAGCAUGAAAUGCAAAGGAAAGUGUGCACAGAUUGAGAUUGAAAGUUAACCAAGAAACUGCUACACAAUUGGUCGUCCGGGAUCACAUGGAAUCAUUCUUGGUCCACAAGAAAUCAAUUCAGGCCCCAAGCCAAAUCCGGUCACCACCAUCCUUUAGAUCUUGCUUGAAAUCCAAGUCAAAAGCCAAAAAGCAAAGCCGGAAAACUAAUGGUAUAACUUUAAUAAAAGUAACUAUCCGUGUGAAGAAGAUGUCAGGUCAUGCGGAGCUGUUAAACGAACCGAGCUGUUCGAUAGCUCGAUUCAUUUCGACUCGUUCGUGUUCGUGAAAGGCUCGUUCGAAAUUUUAAACGAACCGAAUUCGAACGAAUUUUUUUGUUCGAUUAAUAAUCGAGCGAACAUGAGCAUGUUCGCGAAUUUUAACGAACGUUCACGAACAUGCUAAACGAACGUUCGCGAACACGAGUUUUAACGAACGUUCACGAACAUGAACAUAAUUAUCAUUUGACAAAUUUUAGAGUUAAUUUUAUCGCUGGACUUUUAUAUUUGGAGGGCAAAUUGCUUUGUUUUAUUUGUUAUUUUUAUGUUAAUGUUGUUAUAUAGUUAAUGAAUAAUAGAAUUUAGUCACUUAGUUGCUUUAAUUAUUUUUGAGAAUGAUUAAUGAUUUGCAUGGCAUAUUUAAGAUUUAAAAUAAUUUGGAUUCGAACAUUUCGAACAUGUUCGCGAACGGCUCGUUUAUGUUAAACGAGCCGAACACAAACUCGAAUUCGAAUACGAAUUUUGUUUAACGAGCCGAACACGAACACAGAUUUAGAAUUCGAAAAUAAACGAACGAACACGAACGUUGUUCGAAUCGCUUAACGAAUAGAGCUCGAACAUGAGAUACUCGGUUCGAAUUAUUUAGGUUGUUAAUUCAUGCCCUCCUCUUUUCUUUCCCUGGAGUGCGGUGGAGGAAUUUGGUAACUUCGGGCAACUUCUUAGAGAGAAUACUUGAAUUCUGUUUGGCAAAUAAGUUUUUUUUAUCGAGUUUUUCGGCUAUAAGUGUUUUAAUCAUUUUAGUUUAAUAAUUUCUUAAAAUUUCUUAAAAUUUUUAGACUAUAUAUUUCAAAAUAUUAAAAAAUUUACAUAUUUCAAAAAUUUUUCUAUAACGUUUAUAAUAAGUUACAGUAAGAUUUUAUAUGAAUAUUCAAAAAACUCAUUUGCCAAAUGGGCUAUGGUUUCAAACAAGUCGAAUAAAUACUUCAUUACCAUUAUAUGAUAUAGACGCAUGCUGCAUGUGUAGAAGAGAAUUUUAGGAUAAUAAAUAUGUAUUUAGUCUUGCUAGUGUGCAUCCAAAAGCCUAACUUAACUCCUUGGAACAUAGUUAUUAAACCCGUCCCGAGGAGGAAUCAGGUGAAAGAGGUGGGUGAACGGGUUACUGGUUCAACCAGUGGGUGAGUGGUCCAAUCGGUGGAUCACUAAAUAUAUUUAAAUAUUAUAUCUCAUAAUUUUUAUGCCAUAAUAAAUAUUCAAUUAGUCUAAUUUAUUAUUAAAUCAUUAAUUCUUAAAAGAAUUAACAACCUAAAUUUAAUUAGUAAUCUGCCAAAUUUCAAAUAUAAAAUUUUAUCUAAGUGUAAUUAUCUAGUUUAUUUAUGAAUUUUAAGUGCAAAAGUUUAUUAAGAAUAAUAUUUGCCUUUAAAGGAAUUAUGUUAUAUGUUAUUUUUUAAGUCAAUUUCAUAAUUUAUAGAGUUUGGGGAAAAAUAAAAUGUUAUUAAAAGAUUUCAAAUAAAUUUUGUUUUGGAGAAAUAAAAUAAAAAUAAAAGUCUAAUAUAUAGCAUAAGAAGGACAAGAUAACAACAAAUAGGUAGUUGGUCCAGUAGUGAUUGUAUUCUAUCAGCAUGCAUGUCAUUUGUGUUCGAAUCUCCAUUCUAGCAUCUUCAUAAAAUUUUUCCAUGUAAACCGGGUUCCUCAUAAAACCGACCAGUUCAUCGGGUUCAUGGUUGAACCGCUGAUCCGUUGAAAAGUCAACGAAUUCAAUGCAAAAACGAUCUAAUUGAUAACUCGGCCUGGUUCAUUGAGUUGACCUAUUGAACCGCCGGACUGGGCCAGAUUUAAUAACUAUGUCUUGGAAUAUCAGCUAGUUUGGAGACCGUAAGGUCCCUAAAUCAACUCUCAAUCUCUCUUUUUUUUCUUUUCUCCUCUAUUUUGGAAUUUGGUGUCUCCUUUAAAUGAUAAAAAAAAUCCACUAAUGUAAUAAAGUUAUUACACUAGAAAGAUUAAUCCCUAAAUAUUUAUUUGUAAUUAAUACACGAGGAAACAACCCGUUUGCCCCUUAAACUAUCCGCUUUGCUCGGUUUUGACCCCUCAACUAUAAAUUAUUUGAAAUAAGCCCCUCAGUGAAAAAAAAGAAGUCAAGUUCAAGGAUUUCUAUUAAUUUUGAGCGUUAAUAUAGACGCAAUGAGGGCAAAAUUGAUCAAUUAGAAAUCAGUCUAACUUUUGGCCCCUAAACUAAUGCUAUAGGACUGUUGUGCUAUACUAUUGUUUUAACCCCUAAACUAAUCCCACAGCAUUGUUUUAUCCCCUAAAGUAUUUCCACGGCUCUGUUGUGGCCCCUCAAAAAAGUUGACUUCUUCCAUUGGAUCGGUAUUGCCCUUCAUUCCAUCACCACUAAUACCUAAAAUUAACAAACAGUCCUUAAAAAUGAUAUAUAUAUAUAUAUAUAUAUAUAUAUAUAUAUAUAUAUUUUAUUCAGGGACUUAUUUCAGACAAUUUAUAGUUGAGGGAUCGGAACAAAGUGAAUAGUUUAGAAGUCGUGCGGAUUGUUUCCACUUAAUACAUUCAUGAUUAUAUUGAGGCAGAUUAAUUUGCACUUCAAUUUUAUCCUCUCUCCCAGAUAACUUUUUUUUAUUUUUUUUAUUUUGUCACAAAGUUGGCCCUCAAGCCCAACUGGUCACAUUCUCACCAUGAUUAAACCCCUUCCCUUGUCGAUGAUGCCACUGCUCUUUGUAGCUCCGAAGGGUUCUUCCCACCAUGAUUUCUCAAGUUGAAUCCAAUUCUAACCCGCCCCGCAUGAGCAGCGCAAACACCUACCAAGAUGUAUCAUGGCCGCACCCAAAGAUUGAUUGAACGUUUAACAUGAUUUUAAAGGACAAAAUAACUUAAAAAAAAAACAUGUUUAGUUGUUUAAAAUGGGUUAAGUUUUUUUUUUUCUUUCUCAAUGGUAAAGUUGGUUUUCGUGAUGUCCAGUUACAACGUCUGCCCAAAAAAAAAAACUUUCACAUCCAUAUAAAAAUCUAACAAUUUUUUUUUAGUAUAAUUGUUUUUUCGCUUUUACUUCCUCCUCUAAACUAUUCAACCCAUCUUCCCUCCCCCAGUAUCAGUAUCUAACGUAUUUAACCAUUGUACUGUGCCCAAAAGUAAUUUAAGUGCGUAAAAACUGCAGAUGCAUAUCAAAAUGGGCUUUUCAGGAUUUAACCCAAAAAAAGUAAAAUGAACAGAAAAUGUGUGCAAGUAUUGAGGUUGAACCGACAAAUGGUGAAAAGUUUGAGGUUGAACCGAGAAAUUAUUAGAUAACUUGUGGAGCCCAAAAUGAUUCCCAGGGUCAUCGAUGCCCCAAGCCAAAGCCUGUCAUCGCGGCAGAGUUAUCUUUUAUCGUCCUUUGGAUCUUAGUACAAGUAGAAAUUUAAUAAAACCAACCGCCACUGUGCAAAAAAAUGGUAGGUCAUGCCCUCCUCUUUUUCUAUCUCUCGAGUGCGUGGAGGAAUCUGGCAACUUCCAGCGACUUCUUAGAGAUAAUACUUAAGCGUGAAGUAGUUUGAACAAGUUCUUCCUCACCUUUUGAGGAUUCCACCAAUGAUUGUACUUUUUUUUUUUUUGGUCAAUCAGGAGUAUCCAUGUUUGAUCAGACAAAUCUCUUUGGACCUAAAGUACCCCGCCCUCAAAAGCCUAAAAUACCCCGCCCCCAAAAGCAACUUAGACGAUAGGAGAAGCCAGACUCGAACCUGCGUCGCAUGACCCAGAGGGCCAUCCGACAACCGGCUGAGCUGACCUUGAGGGGCACCAAUGAUUGUACUUAAGUGAUGGUUUUUAUAGUAAAGUGUUCCAAUUCAUAACGUAGAGACUAAAGCAAGAUUAAGGUAUCAAUCAUUUUUAGUUAGUUCAUUGAGUCUUAUUAAGUAGUACAUAAAUUACAUAUAUAGGUUUAGAGUUCAUGUAAAUUUUCAAAAUGCUUCAUUGUCUAAUCAAACUCAAUACAUCAAACCCGAAUUCAACUCGAUUGGGCUCGAGCUUGAGUCUGCUCGAAUCCAAACAAGUCGAAUUUGAGCAUUUUAGAAAUUUUAAUGAAUUGAGUUUGAUUUGUAAAAUUUCAAACUCAGAUCGAAUCAAGCUCGAUCUCGAUCAAUGCUACAUCAAAUCGAACUCGACUAUAACACUGCUCAAGAUCGACUCGACUUGUUUGUACCCCUGUAUUAGUGACUCAAACAGUUAUAACCUUCUUUGUUUCCAAACCGAUUGACGUAAUCAAUAGCUCAAUAUCCAAGUUGCUGAUGGGAACUGAUUUGUAACGAACACAUGUCCAAUGGUUAUUGAACUGUUACUAAUUUGUUAUGUCUAUAUUAUUGUUACAUAAUUUUUUCUAUCAAACGCAUUAUUGUACUAACGUAUUUAGACAGGUAGACGGGAUCUUGGACUAUUUUUUGGUCAUGUAAUCGCCUAUACUUCUUUGUUGAACCUUUCAAAGAAUGGAACCUUUUACGAGGAGGACUUCGAUCAUAGCAAGGGUUUACAGGAGGGUGGCGGAAGGCUUAACACAUGCUUAUGUUACUCUGGACUAUGUUUAGAUGCAGAUAAUGUUGGGACUACACUUUUGAUCUCUAACAUUGUACUUAGAUUUUAAAACAAUUAUGUUGUGCAUGCAGUUUUUGUAAAUAGGUUUGAUCUUAAGAAUUGUAUGGAUGGAGCGUUACUUGGCUAAGGUUGUAAUUACCGUAAAUGGCUAAAGUGUAAGUUAAUAUGAGGUUUCAGUGGCUAAUUCCACUCAGGGUGUGGCAUAAUUAAUUAUGCACAGUAAUCUGGUAUAGAAUUUCCCCCAAAUAUAGUAAUAUGUUACAGAAACUCCUCAAGGCUUUCAAAGCAACUAACAUACGGACAUAUAGCUGUUGUGGACAUAUAUAUAACAGAGAUUUUCCAAACAGUUUCAAAACCAUUAUUUGAAACCAUAUUACAAGGAUACAUGGCAAGAAUAAUGUUCACACGCCUCAAAUGUUUGCCAUGACGAACAAAAAACCUUAAAACCAGUUGGAAAAGCUUGACAAUAGUAGUACCUAUUACCCAAUCACCAAACACAUCAAAAAAGGACAAAUGCUUUGUUAGACGUGCAUAAUUGGUAUUUCAGCUUCACUUGGCAGCUGACGCAGCCAAAAUAGAAAAGAUCAGCUCCAAACAGACAUGUCAGGAGUUUCCACAGGCCUUCAACGAACGAACAUAGAGUAAACGUUUAUGGAUCAGUCGUUCUAUAAUGAGUUCUUUGGUACGUCAUGAUGGUGUUGCUGCACUAAUCUUUGGUGACUAAUAAGAAGAGUGAUAUUAGAGUGACUAACCAAACUUGCUGGCCCUGGCUUAUAUCUCCUCUUCGAUCAUUCCCAGUCCCACAUAUUUUGCAGGAAUGAAGGCAAAACAUCUGCAAGAUUCAGAAACAAAAAUGAGAAAUGUCGAAGCGUUUCUACCUUACAAAAUAAAAACUUUCACAAGUAUUUGGAUGAAAGAUUAAGAGGGAGUUAGAGAAGAACUUGAGUCUGCAAAAGUUGAAUGCUCUUUUGCCUCGAAUAAUGACACCGCCGUGCUGGUUUCUGUCGCAGAUGACUUUCGCAUAGGUCAUCAGGUGGAGUGGAAAGAUGUAGUUACCUGUCCAAACUCCAUUUGCAUACACCAUUACUAAUACUUUGUCAAAAUCAAGAAGACCCUGUUUGGCCGUUACUCUUGUGGUUCCACCUGGCUUUAUCCUGAUAAUUUUCUCAAAUUUGUCAGGUCUAGCAGGGUGAACCCACAUCCUGAGUUCUAUGCUGUAGUAAGUCCUGUUUUCUAGUAUACUAAGCUUACCGCCCAUUUUUCUAUGCAACCCACAACCUGAAACUAGCUAGAAUUUGCAA